UGGGGAAUAUUGGACAAUGGGCGCAAGCCUGAUCCAGCCAUGCCGCGUGAGUGAUGAAGGCCUUAGGGUUGUAAAGCUCUUUCACCCACGACGAUAAUGACGGUAGUGGGAGAAGAAGCCCCGGCUAACUUCGUGCCAGCAGCCGCGGUAAUACGAAGGGGGCUAGCGUUGCUCGGAAUCACUGGGCGUAAAGGGCGCGUAGGCGGCCAGACAAGUCAGGGGUGAAAGCCUGUGGCUCAACCACAGAAUGGCCUUUGAUACUGUUUGGCUCGAGACCGGAAGAGGUUGGUGGAACUGCGAGUGUAGAGGUGAAAUUCGUAGAUAUUCGCAAGAACACCGGUGGCGAAGGCGGCCAACUGGUCCGGUUCUGACGCUGAGGCGCGAAAGCGUGGGGAGCAAACAGG
rnacentral:rRNA from 1 species